UACGAGUGGUGCAAACGUUAUUCGGAAUCACUGGGCUUAAAGGGUGCGUAGGCUGUAAUGAGGGUCUGGUGUGAAAUACCACGGCUCAACCGUGGAAUUGCAUUGGAAACCGCAUUGCUGGAGUAAGACAGAGGUGAGCGGAACUGAUGGUGGAGCGGUGAAAUGCGUUGAUAUCAUCAGGAACACCGGUGGCGAAAGCGGCUCACUGGGUCUUUUCUGACGCUGAGGCACGAAAGCUAGGGGAGCGAACGGG
rnacentral:misc_RNA from 1 species